UUCAUGAUUAAAGGGUUGCCACCCAUUAUGGAUUUACCAUCCAAGAGUUUUAUUUGAGGGUUGCCACCCUAUAUGGAUUUAUCAUCCAACCAAAUGAUUUGAGGGUUGCCGCCCAACAAGAAUUAAUUGAAAGAAUCGGUAUACCUGUGAAAAAAUAUUCUCUUGUGCCUAUGCUCUUGCAAUUUUCUCCUGCAGCAGUUUUCUUCUUCUAUCGUUUCCUUCUCUUUCUCUUUUCUUCCCCUUAUUUCUCUACUGCUACCCUCUUUAUAAGCUAGAGACCUCUUUAGUGUAAGAUGUUUCAUUUGAAAACUAAAUAAUCAGCUCCCCAAAAAAUAGGAGCCACCAACCUCUCUUAAGAGUUUUCAUUGGUCUAGACUCCCACCUUUUUCCAAACUUCUUUCUUAUAGAUGACUGGUAAGCCUUAUCUCUACCACCAAUUUGCUGCUUGCUAGACGUGGCAAAUUACGGUCGAAUCCCACGUUUCAAUUUUUUUUUUUGGUGAUCUUUUUUUUUAUUCCAACAGAAACUACUUGCCAUUGUCCCUGACGAUGGCAUAUGGGAUACCGAAUUGACAACAAAUGUGGGUCUAGACAAAAUCUUCUAUUCUUGCAGCCGUUAUGAUUGCUAAGGCUUCGGCCACUACCCACUUGGUAAAAUAAUCAAAGGCAACCACUGCAUAUUUAACCUGGCCCUUCCUUGUGGCAUUAGGCCGAUCAGAUCGAGCCCCCAUUGGACAAAAGGCCAUGAACUUAUAAUUGGUGUGAGUGGUUCGGCAGGCACGUGAGGUACGUUUCCGAAUCAUUGGCAUUUGCCGCAAUUCUUCACCACUGCAAUUGCAUCUCGAUGCAUGGUUGGCCAAUAGUAUCCUUGCUGAAAUGCCUUGUGCUCUAGAGACCGGGAACCUAAAUAGUCUCCUCAUAUGCCACCCUGUAUCUCCCGAAGGACAUAGUCCCACAAGAACUUGUCAAUUGAUUUUGUCGUUGAUUGCCGAAGCUAGCCUUGC
rnacentral:lncRNA from 1 species